GUUGGCAAGUGAUCAUAUCAGUUUAAAGUUUACCUGAUUUCUCUAUGGUGUUAACCAAAAUUACUUGCGUGUAGUGCAAUCUAAAACGGUGAAAUUUUGAGUUAUUUCGGUUUGUGGUUUAAAUUUUUCAAAAUAAGAGUGUCAAGCAAAAAUCGGUUGGAUAAAAAGGUGCCAAACCCAUUCAACGUGGGUGUUUGUGCUGGAGGCACACUAUCCGUACCGUCACGGCACUCGGUCGUCGCUAGGUGGCAAGCAGCCUGACCACCACCUUCGGGUCCGGGGCGCAAAUAUACCCGUCGAAACCCUGCUGUGCG